AGCACUCACCUCGGGCGGCGGCGGCCGGCGGGAGGGCCCCCAGCAGCAGCAGCGGCGGCAGCAGCAGCAGCACCAACACCGGGCUCGGCGUCAUCUCGGCCAGCGCGGACCUGGGAGGUAUUCAAAGGAGCUUCCUCUUCCAGGAACCCUUCCAGGAAAACUGGAACAGGAAACUGCAUGAUUAUCCCAGUAGACCCAGAACAAACACCAGACAGAAUCCAACACCCAGCCCUGAGGUCUCAGCAAUCUGGCCUAGACCAGAACUUCCCCAGCCUGACAAAAGCAUCUACGAAAACGUGACAGCUGCCGUCACACGUCAUCGCUGACGACUCCCGCUCCCGCUGCCAUCAGAGCCCGACCUGGGGUCUGCUCUCCCCGCAGCUCUUCGAUGCCGCGCGGGACAGUCAAGCCACUUCACACUGAAAUGAGUAAAAUGGUCUUGAUUUGUAAAUGACCCGAUCAUCUAUGUGGACAAUUGGACGGAAUCUACAAGAAAAAGUCACCCAAACGAAGCAUUAGUGCACGUGGGAGGUGACACAGCACCGUCAGGCCUGAGAGGGUGCUGCCCGCCGCGCGCGCGAGGCAGGGCAAGGGUGUGACCCUUUUGGAAAACUCUUCAGCACGGUUUCAAAGAGCGAGGCGCACACCGAAUCGAGGUGCGUGAUCUCGAGUUGCACCCCGGUAUUUACCCAACAGAAAUGGAGGUACAUGUCCUCGCAAAGAUUUGUACACAGAUGUUCACGGCGGCUUUAUCUGCAAAAGCCCCAAACUGGGAACCCCCCAAACGUCCACCCACAAGCGAUGGGCAGACGGCCUGUUCUAGGGCUGACCAGCCCGGAAAACCGUGAACUCCACACACACACACACGCCACAGGCACCGUGCAGGGAGCCCCAAAGGAACGACGCUGGUGGGAGAGGAGUACAUCUGUGCGACGGCAUUUGUACAACAUUCUAGAAAGGCCAGCGGAUCGAUGGUGGCAGAAGGGGGACCUGGGGCUGCCUGGGGUGGGGCUGGAAGGGGCAUGAGACGAUUCUGUGGCUGAUGGAAAUACUGCAGCUAUAGUUUCAUGGACAAACAUGCCAAAACUUAUCGAAUCACAUUUUAAACAGUGAGGUUUAUUGUUAUCAACUACGCUUCAAUAAAAGUGUUAUUGAGGA